CAAAGGAAAACAAAGGUAAAACAACCUGAACAGGUGAUCAACUCUAAACCACCUGUUAGGUUCUGGGGGUCUUUUCUUAGCUUUGGGUUGCUGAGUUGUCUCCCCACCAGAUGGAGUCUGAGAGGUGGCGGGCUGUGGGUUCCUGGAUGACGUCAUCCUCACAUCUGUGGCGGAUUACCUAAUUGACGGCAGCAUAAGAGGGGUGGAACGCCGGUACUUCGACGCCAGAGUGUCAACCGUUGAUGGAUCCGCCCUGAUCUGGUUGCCUGCUGUACCAGUUACCCAGCCACGACGCCUUGGGUAGCCUCCCCUAUAUGCCUGACAAACAAGACUCAUCAGUUUCCGUAACUCCAUAACCUCUCAGAAGUUUCCGACCGGCCGUUCCCCCCUACUAYCCGCCGCCUUCAGAGACAAAACCUCCUGUCCGCCCUCCAACGCCACUUUCCAACCCACCACGCCUCACGCAGAGACCCCUGAACCUACCACUCCCCCUCCAAGCCGUUUGAACGCACAGAGCCAUACCCCGAGAGCAGCCGAGCAGUUCCCGGACCAGCUUCACUUUCUGUUUGCAUCUGUAAAAUAAACCUCUCUUUUUUCAUACUCCGUCUCCUAUGGUGUUCUUGCAUGUGGGUAAGAUCCGUUAAACCCAUCAUGACACCACCCACACCUUUUUACUCUCCAUCUCUGUCAUUUAAGCACACCCGUUGCCAUGGCA